GCGAACGAGAAGUCGACAGCUACAACCAUUUUCCUGCUUUCACAAACCGGGUAAUGAAAACAAAAUUACCCGAAAAGUUCAAACCAACCGGCAUUACCAAGUACGACGGCAAGCAAGACCCAGUUCAAUGGCUACGUUGUUACUCGCUAGCCGUCCAAGCAGCCGGGGGUAACAACGACACAAGUCAUUCAUUUCCCCAUAUGCAUGGAAC
rnacentral:lncRNA from 1 species